UUUUCAUUGGAGAGUUUGAUCCUGGCUCAGGACGAACGCUGGCGGCGUGCUUAACACAUGCAAGUCGAACGGAAAGGCCCUGCUUUUGUGGGGUGCUCGAGUGGCGAACGGGUGAGUAACACGUGAGUAACCUGCCCUUGACUUUGGGAUAACUUCAGGAAACUGGGGCUAAUACCGGAUAGGAGCUCCUGCUGCAUGGUGGGGGUUGGAAAGUUUCGGCGGUUGGGGAUGGACUCGCGGCUUAUCAGCUUGUUGGUGGGGUAGUGGCUUACCAAGGCUUUGACGGGUAGCCGGCCUGAGAGGGUGACCGGCCACAUUGGGACUGAGAUACGGCCCAGACUCCUACGGGAGGCAGCAGUGGGGAAUAUUGCACAAUGGGCGGAAGCCUGAUGCAGCAACGCCGCGUGCGGGAUGACGGCCUUCGGGUUGUAAACCGCUUUCGCCUGUGACGAAGCGUGAGUGACGGUAAUGGGUAAAGAAGCACCGGCUAACUACGUGCCAGCAGCCGCGGUGAUACGUAGGGUGCGAGCGUUGUCCGGAUUUAUUGGGCGUAAAGGGCUCGUAGGUGGUUGAUCGCGUCGGAAGUGUAAUCUUGGGGCUUAACCCUGAGCGUGCUUUCGAUACGGGUUGACUUGAGGAAGGUAGGGGAGAAUGGAAUUCCUGGUGGAGCGGUGGAAUGCGCAGAUAUCAGGAGGAACACCAGUGGCGAAGGCGGUUCUCUGGGCCUUUCCUGACGCUGAGGAGCGAAAGCGUGGGGAGCGAACAGGCUUAGAUACCCUGGUAGUCCACGCUGUAAACGGUGGGUACUAGGUGUGGGGUCCAUUCCACGGGUUCCGUGCCGUAGCUAACGCUUUAAGUACCCCGCCUGGGGAGUACGGCCGCAAGGCUAAAACUCAAAGGAAUUGACGGGGCCCCGCACAAGCGGCGGAGCAUGCGGAUUAAUUCGAUGCAACGCGUAGAACCUUACCUGGGUUUGACAUGGAUCGGGAGCGCUCAGAGAUGGGUGUGCCUCUUUUGGGGUCGGUUCACAGGUGGUGCAUGGCUGUCGUCAGCUCGUGUCGUGAGAUGUUGGGUUAAGUCCCGCAACGAGCGCAACCCUUGUUCACUGUUGCCAGCACGUUAUGGUGGGGACUCAGUGGAGACCGCCGGGGUCAACUCGGAGGAAGGUGGGGAUGACGUCAAGUCAUCAUGCCCCUUAUGUCCAGGGCUUCACGCAUGCUACAAUGGCUGGUACAGAGAGUGGCGAGCCUGUGAGGGUGAGCGAAUCUCGGAAAGCCGGUCUCAGUUCGGAUUGGGGUCUGCAACUCGACCUCAUGAAGUCGGAGUCGCUAGUAAUCGCAGAUCAGCAACGCUGCGGUGAAUACGUUCCCGGGGCUUGUACACACCGCCCGUCAAGUCAUGAAAGUUGGUAACACCCGAAGCCGGUGGCCUAACCGUUGUGGGGGAGCCGUCGAAGGUGGGACUGGUGAUUAGGACUAAGUCGUAACAAGGUAGCCGUACCGGAAGG
rnacentral:rRNA from 1 species